CGCACGGGUGAGUAACACGUAUCCAACCUGCCGAUGACUCGGGGAUAGCCUUUCGAAAGAAAGAUUAAUACCCGAUGGCAUAGUUCUUCCGCAUGGUGGAACUAUUAAAGAAUUUCGGUCAUCGAUGGGGAUGCGUUCCAUUAGGUUGUUGGCGGGGUAACGGCCCACCAAGCCUUCGAUGGAUAGGGGUUCUGAGAGGAAGGUCCCCCACAUUGGAACUGAGACACGGUCCAAACUCCUACGGGAGGCAGCAGUGAGGAAUAUUGGUCAAUGGACGAGAGUCUGAACCAGCCAAGUAGCGUGAAGGAUGACUGCCCUAUGGGUUGUAAACUUCUUUUAUACGGGAAUAAAGUGAGGCACGUGUGCCUUUUUGUAUGUACCGUAUGAAUAAGGAUCGGCUAACUCCGUGCCAGCAGCCGCGGUAAUACGGAGGAUCCGAGCGUUAUCCGGAUUUAUUGGGUUUAAAGGGAGCGUAGGCGGACGCUUAAGUCAGUUGUGAAAGUUUGCGGCUCAACCGUAAAAUUGCAGUUGAUACUGGGUGUCUUGAGUACAGUAGAGGCAGGCGGAAUUCGUGGUGUAGCGGUGAAAUGCUUAGAUAUCACGAAGAACUCCGAUUGCGAAGGCAGCUUGCUGGACUGUAAC
rnacentral:rRNA from 1 species